UGAGGGAGAGGGGAUGGCGGCUCCAUGUGUGUGAGGGACUAGGAUGGCUGGGAAGACCCCGUGGACCGAUCAGAAAAGCCCCUCCCCCGGGAGGGCCCAGGAAUUAUGGCGAGGCUCCUGGGGUGUGCCGUGGCCGUGGCCCUCAUCCUCAGUGUGGCUUCCACUGUCUUUCUGUAUCACUGGCAGCAGAAGAACCGGCUGGAGAUGGAUGGGGGCGGAUUCUUGGCCUAGAGCUGGAGAAGCAGCAGCUACAGCAGGAAGAGGAUGAACUGCAGAAGCUGCCCCCACAGCCCCCCUACUACGAUCUGGGGGCCUCCCCCUCCUACCACCCCUUGGCCUUUGUCUCCACAGCCUCACCACGCUCCCUCUCGGCUGGAAGGGCCAAAGAGAAUGCAUCUCAAGAUGCCAAACCUUGCCCCUGGGAGGCAGCGUUCCUAUCCCGGGUGCUCAGCCCAGAGGACCAACCCGGCCCCCACCUUCCAAUUCCAUGCAGGGGCCUUCCCUCCCCAGGCUCUGCUCAUGGUGGAUUGACAGAAGGCUCAAAUGAGUUGGAGGCUUCAGGACUCAAGACCACUUGGGAGGAAGAGCAGACAGGUGCCGGCAGUCUCGGAGGACUCCACUCAGCUGUGUCCCUCAGACCAGGGGUUCACUGUGGCGUCAGCAUGUCCAUCCCAGUCCCACACUGGGAAAUUCCAUGUCCCCCAGCAGUGAAUUUGCCCUGUUCUCUGGGGUCCUUGCCAGGCUGUUGAAUCCCACAUCCUGAGAAAGUGCCCCCAGGUCAGUGUGGUCUUGCUUAUUCCCCCAAAUCCCACCCACAAAUGCCCGCCCAGCUUCUGCUAGAAUUCCUAGAGAAUUCCUGCCACUCCUUGCUCCUUGGACGUACUCUCUCCUCCCUCAGCAGGUCCAGCUGGCCCCAGCUGGGUCAUGCUGGGCUUUAAACUUAGCUAUCAGCCUGGUAGCCAGGAAGGCGGGUGGGGGCAGCUCUCGAAGAGUGUGCCUCUCGCCUUGUAGGGUGAGCCUGGGAUGAUGGUAGCUCUUGCUGGCUUAGGCCAGGCACCUCCGUGUGCUCUGAGGGACAUAUCCUCAAGAGCCUUUUUCGUUUGUUUGUUUUGUGUUGGGUUUUUUUUUUUUUAAAUAAGUUUAUUUAUAUAUUUCUUUGGCUGUGCUAGGUCUUCGCCGCUGCACGUGGGCUCUUCUCUAGUGGCGAGGUGGAGGCUUUCAGGGGCUUCUCUUGUUGCAGAGUAACAGGCUCUACAGGCGUGGGCUCAGUAGCUGCAGUUCCCAGGCUCCCUAGUCGCAGCACACAGCCUCAGUUGCUUCACAGCACGUGGGAUCCUCCCAGAUCACACGUGUCUCCUGCUCUGGUGGGCGGAUUCUUUACCACUGAGCCACCAGGGAAGUCCAGAGACCUUGUUUGGCCAAAAAUUUUACUUUCGUUUUAGGUUCGAAGGAUUCAUUAACAACAGAAACCUCUCAUUACACACACAAUAAACAAUUUCAAUUUUAAAUAGAGGAUUUUUAAACUUCAUUUCAAUAUACAUCAUUAAAAGCAAAGAAAUAGAAACAACAGAGAGAAGGAACGGCACAUACUUCACCAAAUUGGGCUGACAACCCACAUCCAGACUUGAACAGCGCUGGGAAGUCCCAUGUAACAGCAAUCUGGAGUCCCGACUGGCAAAAGGCCCCAGGCAGCGUGUUCACCCCAUGGGUGAGACUUCAAAUUGCAGCUUUGGGGGCCACCACUUAUAAUCUCAGGCCACAAACGGACAUCAGCAUCAGUUUGCACACAAAAAUGCAGUUCUGGUUUUCCAUUAACUUUUAGAAUGCUAUUGGUUUUCACCUUGUGAGUCACAGGAUUUUCCAGACCCCAGGGGGCUGGCCAGGCCUACAGGGGCUCAGCAAAUUCCAAGACCCUCUCC
rnacentral:lncRNA from 1 species